rnacentral:rRNA from 1 species
GUGGGGAAUCUUGCGCAAUGGGCGAAAGCCUGACGCAGCCAUGCCGCGUGAAUGAUGAAGGUCUUAGGAUUGUAAAAUUCUUUCACCGGGGACGAUAAUGACGGUACCCGGAGAAGAAGCCCCGGCUAACUUCGUGCCAGCAGCCGCGGUAAUACGAAGGGGGCUAGCGUUGCUCGGAAUUACUGGGCGUAAAGGGCGCGUAGGCGGACAGUUUAGUCAGAGGUGAAAGCCCAGGGCUCAACCUUGGAAUUGCCUUUGAUACUGGCUGUCUUGAGUACGGGAGAGGUGAGGAGAACUCCGAGUGUAGAGGUGAAAUUCGUAGAUAUUCGGAAGAACACCAGUGGCGAAGGCGACUCACUGGCCCAAUACUGACGCUGAGGCGCGAAAGCGUGGGGAGCAAACAGGAUUAGAUACCCCAGUAGUCC